rnacentral:rRNA from 1 species
UUUUAUUUGAGAGUUUGAUCCUGGCUCAGGAUGAACGCUGGCGGCGUGCCUAACACAUGCAAGUUGAGCGAUUUACUUCGGUAAAGAGCGGCGGACGGGUGAGUAACGCGUGGGUAACCUACCCUGUACACACGGAUAACAUACCGAAAGGUAUGCUAAUACGGGAUAAUAUA